rnacentral:misc_RNA from 1 species
UCCGAGUUGACCCCGGCAGUCUCCAAUGAGUCCCCAACCACCCCGAAAGGUGUUGCUGGCAACAUUGAACAAGGGUUGCGCUCGUUGCGGGACUUAACCCAACAUCUCACGACACGAGCUGACGACAGCCGUGCAGCACCUGCGCACGCUCCCUCGCGGGUCCCUCACCUUUCGGAUCGGUACCACGUGCGUGUCAAGCCCGGGUAAGGUUCUUCGCGUUGCAUCGAAUUAAACCACACGCUCCGCUGCUUGUGCGGGCCCCCGUCAAUUCCUUUGAGUUUUAACCUUGCGGCCGUACUCCCCAGGCGGUCGACUUCACGCGUUAGCUUCGUUACUGAGAGUGUCAAACCCCCAACAACCAGUCGACAUCGUUUAGGGCGUGGACUAC